rnacentral:rRNA from 1 species
UACGGGGGGAGCAAGCGUUGUUCGGAUUUACUGGGCGUAAAGGGCGCGUAGGCGGCCUGCUAAGUCGAACGUGAAAUCCCUGGGCUCAACCCAGGAACUGCGUCCGAUACUGGUUGGCUUGAAUCCGGGAGAGGGAUGUGGAAUUCCAGGUGUAGCGGUGAAAUGCGUAGAUAUCUGGAGGAACACCGGUGGCGAAGGCGACAUCCUGGACCGGUAUUGACGCUGAGGCGCGAAAGCCAGGGGGGCAAACGGG